rnacentral:misc_RNA from 1 species
AAGUCGUAACAAGGUUUCCGUAGGUGAACCUGCGGAAGGAUCAUUAACACGUUUUUUUAAACCAAAACGUACUAAAACUCUGUGAACGAGAUUUCCGAAUAUUAAUCUCAACUAAUAAUAUUAUUUUAAUAUUAAUAUUUCGGUAUUAAUAUUAUUAAUAAUAUUAUUAGGAUUAUAUUUGGGUAACAUAAAUCUCACUAUUUUUAUUCCAAUAUCACCAACCCCUAAAACUACUUAAUACUAUAUGGUGAAAUACCCAUAUAUGUAUUCUGUAUGUUUGUAACUAAACUUUUUCUUCAUUUCAUGCCUAAAAAACAUGAAAGCAAAAGGAUAGUAUUAUCUUCGGAUAUACUUUAUCUUUUUAUGAACCAAAACUGUUGUACAACUCUUAGCAACGGAUAUCUUGGUUCCC